AGGCCGUGAUUGCUUCACUUGUACUCUGCGACACCCUGGCAACGGCUUAUCACUGGAUUUUACUGGAUUCUGUAGACACUGAUUACCGGCAAUGAAACGACCCGGCUCAGUUUGCCUUUUGCAGCUGGAGUGAGCUUGGGUAUUCUGAAAGCUGCCGCGCAGCUCCACCCAUAGGCGUAUCUUUUUCUCUUGAGGUAAAAAGUGAGGCACGCUGAAUCACCAACCUGCUGAGCUAUGAGCUGCACUGCAAACCUGCAAAAGAACAUGCCAUAAACAGCAUUGCACUUGCCGAACUUGCCACUCCUGUUGAUUAUUCCUGCCAGGCAGGAGCAAGAGGAGGGCAUAAACUAUGUUCAAGUGGCCAAGGCCCCCUCCACUACUUCACAUAGUGGCCCUGUGUCAAAGUGCUCUGAUGUGUCUGAUCGUAACACUUCUUUUGAGUGAAAAGGAGAUCCUCAAUUAUGAGCUCCUCAUUAGGCAAAGGUCAGCGCUCUUGUUUCCAUAAAUAGUGGAUCAAUCUACAGGUACAUGCCUGUCCUUUGCGUA